CCUACGGGAGGCUGCAGUGGGGAAUAUUGCACAAUGGGCGCAAGCCUGAUGCAGCCAUGCCGCGUGUGUGAAGAAGGCCUUCGGGUUGUAAAGCACUUUCAGCGGGGAGGAAGGGGGUGAGGUUAAUAACCUCAUCGAUUGACGUUACCCGCAGAAGAAGCACCGGCUAACUCCGUGCCAGCAGCCGCGGUAAUACGGAGGGUGCAAGCGUUAAUCGGAAUUACUGGGCGUAAAGCGCACGCAGGCGGUCUGUCAAGUCGGAUGUGAAAUCCCCGGGCUCAACCUGGGAACUGCAUUCGAAACUGGCAGGCUAGAGUCUUGUAGAGGGGGGUAGAAUUCCAGGUGUAGCGAUGAAAUGCGUAGAGAUCUGGAGGAAUACCGGUGGCGAAGGCGGCCCCCUGGACAAAGACUGACGCUCAGGUGCGAAAGCGUGGGGAGCAAACAGGAUUAGAUACCCGUGUAGUC
rnacentral:rRNA from 1 species